GAUUUUAUAUUUAAUAAUAUUUUUUUUUAUUUUUGUUUAGAAAUAUAAUUUAUAUAGUUUAUUAAAAAUUUUAGAAAAAAUUUUUUUAUUUUUAGUUUAUUUUACUGAAUAGGAGAGUUAUUUAUUUUAAAAGAAGAAUAUUUUUUUAUAGUACCUUUUGUAUCAGGGUUAAUUAAUUUUAAAAAUUUAUAGUUUUAUUUCUCGAACAUUCAAGAUUUAAAAUAAUUUGUUUUUUAAUGUUUUAUAAUUAAGUAAAAAUUUAUUUUGGAUUUGAAAUGAAAUUCGUUUGAAUUUAUAUCUAGUUAACUAAGAUUUUAAUUUAAUUAAGGAUUUUUUUUUGAUAAUUAAUAUAUAUAUUGAUUCAUUUAAAUUUCUAAUUUUAUUGGGGAUAAUCUCAUUAAAUUUUUAAAAUUUUAUUUUAAAAUAUAUUUUUUUUAGAUUUAGAAUUUGUCUUAAUUUAAAGUUUGUAAAAAAUUUAAAUGUGUAUAUAAAGAAUUUAAAAAUUUAUUUUUAUAUUAGUUUUUUUGAUAAAAUUUUUUUUUAUUAAAUAAUGAUUAAAUUAGUAAAUUAUUAUUUUUUAUUUAAUAUAUGAAUUCGGCAAAUUUUAUUUUUCACCUGUUUAACAAAAACAUGUCCUUGAGAUUUUAUUUUAGGUCCAGCCUGCUCAGUGAGUUUUAACUUAAAUAGCCGCAGUAUUUUAACUGUGCUAAGGUAGCAUAAUAAUUAGUCUUUUAAUUGAAGUCUGGAAUGAAUGGUUAAAUGAAAAAAUAACUUUAUUUAUUAAUUUUAAUUGAAAUUUAUUUUUAAUUUAAAAAGAUUAAAUUUUCUUGAGUGACGAUAAGACCCUAUAGAUCUUAAAAAUAAUUUUUAUUUAUUUUUUAGUUGUUUUUUUUUAAGUAAGAUUUUCGUUUUUUUGUUGGGGUGACAAUUAAAAAUUUAAACUUUAAUUUUUUUUUACAUUUUUUUUUGGUUUUUUUGAUCCUUUUUUUUGAUUUUAAGAAAAAGAUACCUUAGGGAUAACAGCGUAAUAUAAUUGAAGAGUUCUAAUCGAUAAUUAUGAUUGCGACCUCGAUGUUGGAUUAAUUUAAAGUUGUGGGGUAGGUUUUACAAUUUUGGGUCUGUUCGACCCUUAAAAAAUUACAUGAUCUGAGUUCAGACCGGCGUGAGCCAGGUUGGUUUCUAUCUUCUUAAAAAAUUUAAUUAGUACGAAAGGACUUUUAGAUUAUAAUAUUUAUUA
rnacentral:rRNA from 1 species